rnacentral:rRNA from 1 species
AUUGAACGCUGGCGGCAGGCCUAACACAUGCAAGUCGAACGAGUGGCGGACUGGUGAGUAAUUUCUGGGAAACUGCCUGAUGGAGGGGGAUAACUCCUGGAAACGGUAUCUAAUACCGCAUACUAUCAGCUGUGCCCAGCUGGGAUUAGCUGGUUGGUGGGGUCACGGCUCACCAAGGCGACGAUCCCUAGCUGGUCUGAGAGGAUGACCAGCCACACUGGAACUUAGACACGGUCCAGACUCCUACGUGAGGCAGCAGUGGGGAAUAUUGCACAAUGGGCGCAAGCCUGAGGCAGCCAUGCUGCGUGUAUGAAGAAGGCCUUCGGGUUGUAAAGUACUUUCAGCGGGGAGGCGUUACCCGCAGAAGAAGCACCGGCUAACUCCGUGCCAGCAGCCGCGGUAAUAC